UUAUGUAUUGUUAUAGGUUACGGAUGCAACGUCGUUAAACAAUUCCAGGACAAUUAAAUUGUUGAUUCAAUCGAACAUAUGGUAUGAACAUGGUUUGUUUCACGGGGUGUUUCGGUGUCUUGCCUUGAAUCAAGGCGUGUAAAAACGUAAAGCUUGCUUUUAUCUAUCUUUUUUUAUUGUCACGUCUUUAUCCAUCUAUGUAACGCUUAAUCAUCAAUUAUUAUAUUAAACUUCAAUAAAGGCUGGUGUACCAAA